rnacentral:lncRNA from 1 species
AUUUUUGAGACAGAGUCUCCCUCUUUAGCCCAGGCUGGAGUGCAGUGGCACAAUCUCUACUCAUGGCAACCUCCAUCUCCUGGGUUCAAGCAAUUCUUUUGCCUCAGCCUCCCGAGUAACUGGAUUACAGGCGCGCACCACCUUGCCCGGCUAAUGUUUGUAUUUUUAGUAGAGACAGGGUUUCACCAUGUUGGCCAGGCUGGUCUUGAACUACUGGCCUCAGGGAAUCCACCCUCCUCGGCCUUCCAAAGUACUAAAUUUAUAGUCAUGAGCCACUGCACCCCGCCAGUUUAACUUUUUUUUAAUUGGCUUAGUUGCCAAGAGAGGAAGUUGGGGAGGAUCCUGAGGAGUGUAUGUUUUGUCCUUGGAGAGAGAGCUCAUUGUCUUCAAGCAAAAGAGGGAGCACACUAGCCCUUAUUAGAGAAGAGAGGGGCACUUCUGUAGCCUUAGAAGGUUCUGGAAACCUGAGGAUUGAAGAUUUUUCAGGUGCAUCAACCCAGAUGGUUUCAUCCCAUGUGUCAGGGUUCCAUUUUUUCCCAAUCAGGGUCCUGACAACAGCACAGUAGACCUGCCUAGCUUGGGUCCUAACUUCUUUGGAGUUUUAUUCUCAUGACUAAGUCCUGGGCCUGGUCCUCAGCUUCCUCUCCUCAUUGGCUUGAGAACCUGAGAGUCUCAUAUUCUACGAGGGAGGCUUUCUGGCCCUCACACUGAGUUUUUGUUUGUUUUUGAGACAAGAUCUUGCUUUGUCACUAAGGCUGAGUGUGUAGUUGCACCCAGGCUGGGAGUGCAGUGGCACAGUAAGCUACUGUAACCUUGAACUCCUGGACCCAAAUUAUCCUCUGGCCUCAGCCUCUUGAGUAACAGAACAACAAAUGCAUGCCACUAUGCCCUGCUGAUUUUAAAUUUUUGUGGAGAUGGGCCUUGCUAUGUUGCCCAGGCUGGUCUUGAAUUCCUGGCCUCAAGCUAUCCUCCCUUUUCAGUCUUCUGAGGCACUGGAAUUACAGGCAUGAGCCACGGCUCUUGGUCCCACACUCAGCUUCUAAUUACCAACUAAUCACUCUCAUUCUUUUAUUUUGAGACAGGGUCUCAUUCUGUAGCUCAAGCUGGAGUACAGUAGUGCAAAUAUAGCUCACUGCAGCCUCAAACUCCUGGGGUCAGGUGAUCUUCUUGCCUCAGCUUCCCAAAUAGCUAGGACUACAGCCACAAGCUACUGGGCAUGGAUAAUUUUUUAAAUAUUUGUAGAGACAGGGUCUCGCUAUGUUGCCCAGGCUGGUCUCAAACUCCUGGCUCAGCCUCCCAAAGUGCUGGGAUUACAAGUGUGAGCCACUAUGCCUGGCCCAUUCUCAUUCUUCUGUUAUCUUUUUCCAAGGUAUCGGUCUAGCUCAGUAAUAACUCUUCAGUUCCACUGUCUACACUGUUUCCCACCUGAUCUUCGUGCCUGCCGGUGCAUUUCUUUGUGUUGACAUGCCAUCUCAGUUCACCACUAGUCAAAGUUUUAAUAACUGCACUGUCAGGGUGUGCUAGCAGUUAACUUCUCCCUGCCCCAGUGAGGAGACUCUCAUCCUAUAAGUGAGAAGGCAAGAGAAAUGGCUCCAAAAGCACACUGGAGCACCUACUUUCCUGCAACCCUUCUGAUACCAAGUAUCACAGAUGCUGAGAUGAAGAUUAGUGGGUAGGAGAUUUGGAUUGCCACCUGUGGAAAGAAAGGAAACUCCACUGGGUGGAGGAAGAAUAUGGACUAUGAUGCAAUCUCAAAGGUGGCCUUAGCUGACACUAAGGGGAACUCUGAAGCUAGGAUGGUCUUUCAGAUUGUUCUAAUAUGGGGCAAUGGGACUAGUCUUUGCAUGCAGCCUGGCCCAAGAAGGAAGUGUGACUUCAGAUGAGGUGGCUCUUUUCACUUAAGAGGGCAAUUCUACUGACAGCUGAGGGCCGUUGGGUGCACACUGCCAGAGCGAGAAAACAAAAUCCUCUGUAGGGAAGGGGACUGUGUGGCAUAUCACAGCACACCCCGAGAACAAGGGAGCGGCUCUUCAUCAAAUAACACAAUAUGGGCCCACAUAUUCCCAGAGGCUGCUAUAGUGCUGGGCACAUUAGUGCUCAAUAACUUAUUGAAUUAGUAUUAUCAUAUUGUGCUAUUGCCAUCCUCAUCUUUUAAAGUCACUUAUCACUUAAUGGAUGUUCUUGUUAGAACUGACACUAUGAAGAUGACUAUGACACAAUUACCUGUUGAGCCUAUUUGAGAAAUUAACCUAUAUUUAACAAGUUUGACUAAUUAGAUUGGUUAAGAGCCUUAGCAGAGGGCUAAACAAAAUGGUGUUAAAGAAUACACCUGAUGGUCCAAGAAAAUCCCUAACUCCCUAGAAGGUCUGGAUAGUCUGAGAAGUGACAUUCGAACAGUGUAAUGCACUUUCCUCCAGAGCCAGAAGCAGGGAAAGCAGAGGCAGCAGCAAUUUUAUCUUCUGGGCACCUUAUCCUCAGACCUCAUUUUAUCAAUACAUACGGACUGUCUACAACCACGUAAUAUCCUUUUCAUCAGCCUUAUGAAAUUUUCCCCCAAUUUAUCCAAGUCAGGAUUUCAGUAUGCAGAAGUCUAAUGUCAUCUUGGAGAGUUCAUUGUGCCUCCCCCAUAUCCAAGACCAUUUACUAAAACCUUAGUUCAGUCUUUAAAGAGUCACAAGAUCCUAUUAUGCCUAGUUUUUUUUCCAGUCUUUUAAGUCUAUUCCUUACCUUGCCAAAAAAGUACCUGUUUCUAUGGUUUAACAAAUGGAGCUUAGAAUAUGGAACUAUGGUAAGUGCUCUUUAGAAUUUAAAAUAAGUUACAUGUACUGGUUUUCCUUUAUUUUGUAGUUUUGUUCUCAAAGAAUUCCAGAUAUGAUUUUUUUCCAGACAAAAAUACCUGCUACAUGCUUCCUUCUGUAUGAAUACAUGAGACCUACCUUCAUUCAUGUUUCCUCUAUGAAGCUUUCCCUGCACUCCAAACACAGAGCUGAGACUUCCACCUAAUGUAGAAAGCUAGCACGAGCCGGCGCUGACAGAUGGAAGACUUGAGAUGUUACAAGAUUAUAUAUGGAAACACAAAAGGAGUGGAGUUGCUGGGUCAUAUGGCAAUUCAUUUGAGGAACUGAGAAGCUUAUUCCAUGGAGGCUGAACUGUUUUAUAUUCCCACCAGCAACGUGUAAGGUUCCAGUUUAUCUACAUCAUCACCAACACUUGCUAUUUUCCAUUUCAUUAAUGAUAGCCAUCCUAGUGGAUUUGAAGUGGUACCUUAUUAUCGUGGUUUUGAUUGCAUUCUCUAUUGACUAAUGAUAUCGAGCAUCUUUUCAUGUAUUUUUUGGUCAUUUGGUCAUUUUUCUUUUUUAAUUUUAAAAUUUUGAGACAGGCUCUCACUAUGUUGCCCAGGUGGUCUCAAACUCCUGGGUUCCAGCGAUGCUCAUGCCUCAGUCUCCCAAAGGGGUGGGAUUACAGGUGUGAGCCACUUUGCCCAGCCCAUUUGUAUAUCUCCUUUGGAGAAUAUCUAGGUUCUUUUGAAGGUAGCUGCAUAUAAACUAGCCAAAUUAACAGACUGUGGUUUUUAGAUGGCUUUCCAUAUCUACAAGAACUAUUUAGUUCUCAAAACUGGGAAGAAAUGUUUCAGAGGCAUCAUUAAUUCAUAAUCUAAAAAUUUAUCUUGGGUUUCCUUUUUUCCCCCAGAUUCUGUAUCCUCCAUAGUCCUAUUCAUGACAUGGGUCGUUCAUCUCUGUAUUCUAAACCCUCAAUGAACUGUAGACAGUAAUAAAUAUUUAUUGGAUGAAUGGUCUCUCAUCAGCCACCUUUUCUUUUUUUUUUUUUGAGACAGAGUCUCACUCUGUCACUCAGGCUGGAGUGCAGUGGCGCGAUCUCGGUUCACUGCAACCUCUGCCUCCCGGGUUCAAGUGAUUCUCCCACCUGAGCCUCCCGAGUAGCUGGGAUUACAGGUGCACGCCACCUUGUCUGGCUAAUUUUUGUAUUUUUAGUAGAGACAGGGUUUCACCGUGUUGGUCAGGCUGGUCUCAAACGCCUGACCUCAGGUGAUCUGCCCGACUUGGCCUCCCAAAGUGCUGGGAUUACAGGUGUGAGCCACCGCACCUGGCCUCCAGCCUCUUUUCUUUUUUUUUUUUGAGACAAGUCUAACUCUGUCACCCAGGCUGGAGAGCAGCGGCAUGAUCAUGGCUCACUGCUGCCUCAACCUCAGAGGCUCAAGUCAUUGUCCCCACCUCAGCCUCCCUAGUAGACUGGACUACAGGCAUGUGCCACCACACCCAGCUAAUUUUUCAUCAGCCACCUUUUCUAACCAUCUGUCUGCACUGACUUCCCAGGUUCUGCAUCAUUAUUGGUUUACUGAGACAAUGCACUUCACCCGUCCUUCAAUCCCAAAGUAGCACAGAAUAUCAGGAGUUCUUUGAGCCCCUAAGUGCCCUACUUUCCCAGGGUCAGGGGACCCUGACAAGCAAGGUCCCCACAUCUUUCUGUGGUUGGAUAGGGAUAUAAAAUUUCUCACACAUGUUAAAUCAAGAUACUUUGGCCAGGCACGG